rnacentral:rRNA from 1 species
AUUGAACGCUGGCGGAAUGCUUUACACAUGCAAGUCGAGCGGCAGCGCGGGGCAACCUGGCGGCGAGCGGCGAACGGGUGAGUAAUGCAUCGGAACAUGUCCAUGUCGUGGGGGAUAGCCCGGCGAAAGCCGGAUUAAUACCGCAUACGCCCUGAGGGGAAAGUGGGGGACCGCAAGGCCUCACGCGAUUGGGUUGGCCGAUGUCCGAUUAGCUAGUUGGCGGGGUAAGAGCCACCAAGGCGAUGAUCGGUAGCUGGUCUGAGAGGAUGAUCAGCCACACUGGGACUGAGACACGGCCCAGACUCCUACGGGAGGCAGCAGUGGGGAAUUUUGGACAAUGGGGGAAACCCUGAUCCAGCCAUUCCGCGUGAGUGAAGAAGGCCUGG